rnacentral:rRNA from 1 species
UUAGUUUAGACUCGCAGCAUAUAGCUCAGUAACACGUGGCCAAGCUACCCUGCAGACACGGACAACCUCGGGAAACUGAGGCUAAUCCGCGAUACCGAUCCCAGGCUGGAACAGCCGGGAUCACUAAACGCUCCGGCGCUGCAGGAUGCGGCUGCGGCCGAUUAGGUAGACGGUGGGGUAACGGCCCACCGUGCCGAUAAUCGGUACGGGUUGUGAGAGCAAGAGCCCGGAGACGGAAUCUGAGACAAGAUUCCGGGCCCUACGGGGCGCAGCAGGCGCGAAACCUUUACACUGCACGCAAGUGCGAUAAGGGGACUCCGAGUGCGAGGGCAUAUAGUCCUCGCUUUUGAGAACCGUAAGGCGGUUCUCGAAUAAGAGCUGGGCAAGACCGGUGCCAGCCGCCGCGGUAAUACCGGCAGCUCAAGUGAUGGCCAAUCUUAUUGGGCCUAAAGCGUCCGUAGCUGGCCGUGAAAGUUCGUCGGGAAAUCCAUCCGCUCAACGGAUGGGCGUCCGGCGAAAACUUCACGGCUUGGGACCGGAAGGCUCGAGGGGUACGUCUGGGGUAGGAGUGAAAUCCUGUAAUCCUGGACGGACCGCCGAUGGCGAAAGCACCUCGAGAAGACGGAUCCGACAGUGAGGGACGAAAGCUAGGGUCUCGAACCGGAUUAGAUACCCGGGUAGUCCUAGCCGUAAACAAUGUUCACUAGGUGUGGCACAGGCUAUGAGCCUGUGCUGUGCCGUAGGGAAGCCGAGAAGUGAACCGCCUGGGACGUACGUCCGCAAGGAUGAAACUUAAAGGAAUUGGCGGGGGAGCACAA